UGUCUUUCCUUCUUCCGCAAAAUCGUCAAACUUCAAGGUCGAAAAAUCCCUAACUUUCCUCUUAAUUCCCUUCGAAAAUCAAGAUCAUUGUCCGCUUCCCUUCUUCCGCGCGUCUUCUUGUUCGCAAAAUCGAAGCACCCAAAAUCGUUCUUCCGUUCAAAAACCCAAGAUCAUCUGUGUUCAAAAAGUAGACGUCCCUUGCAUUUUCGCUGUCCGUUGUCCACUAUACAAGUCUAAACCAUCGUUCGAAAAGAAGAAGACAGAAAACUUGAAGUUUCUUCACCGAAAAUCUCAGUUCUUUGGCCGAGUAGAACAAUGUAUUUGUGAUGUCAAACAAGAAGUCAAAGUAUCCGGAUCUUCAAGUAGAUUUGAGGGGUAUGUAUUUGUGUCGCACACUUAGCUACCGAGGAGCAGAAUUUAACAUUGUGGAAGCACCGUUGGAAGCUGAGAUGAUGUUUACUAUGGUCUCUUGAAACUCUGUCGUUCUAUAUCCUACUUAGGAAAUGUAUGCAUUAACUGCUGAAUUUUGGGCAAAGCUGCAAUUAGAAUGGAUGACAGCAAGUGCUUAUGUUACUAGUUACAAGCCUAGCACCAAUCAACUUUGGCGAUUAUUUUGGGCAAGUCAUCAGGAAUAUAUAUUUGGGAUUUUUCUUAAAAGUUGAGUUUCUCUUUAAGUUGGACUUUUAAAUAUUUCUUUAUUUUAAUUUAAUUGAAGUGUGUUACAAAGGUUUAUAUGUUCUAUACCAUUUCUCUUACUUCAAAACUUCGUCCUUUUGUAGUGUCUCUUCAGGCAUAUCUGUAUGUCUGCAAAGGUUCCUGCUAGUGUUAGACUAGCUAGCUAAGCAAUCAUUAUUGGAAGAUAAAUGUGUAUUAUUGAGAUUGAAAAUCCUAACUUGGUCAAGCUAAAAACCUUGAAGCUAGAGAUAUUGAUAUCGGGAAAACAACUGAACUUUCAAGGCGUGAAUGGGAAGAGAUAGAGAAACAAAAGGCUCACGAGCAAUUCAUGAGGCUCCAAAAACAAGGAAAAACUGAACAAGCUAGGAAAGAUUUAGAUAUUUGAGCUUCAAUAAUUUAAAGGGAGAAAUUCUAAGGGAGCUUGCUAGUCUUCUAGAGCUUCAAUACCUACAUCUACAACAAAAUUGUUUCAUUGGACGAAUUCCUCCUGAAUUGGGCACCCUGCAACAUCUUCGCCACUUAUAUUUUAUAUUAUUCAUGGUCGCCUGCGAUGACUAUAAGUUCUAUCUGUAUCAUCAUUCUCUCCAUGCUAUCGAGUUCCACAACAAAGAAUAAUAAUUCUUGAUAGUUUAAAACUGUCAAGAGAGUCUAUUUUUGUACUAGUGGAUAUGCAUGCUUAAUUGGGUAGUUGACAACCACCCAGAAUGGAAGGACCUUGCAGAGAGGGUCUUUGACAAUGAACAGUUUCAAUUCAAGGUCAUGUUUCCUGACGAAGAUUUCGUGGAACGAAGCACGUUCUAUAAAAGGCAAAGUACAGAGGAAACUCAAAAAAGAUUUGAGAAAGGAGAAUGCUCAUGACAAGCUGAGCAUACAAAUGUGGAAGUUCCUAAAUACUUCCUAAAAUUUCAAGAAUUAAUUAUGGCUAGCAAUGAAGCUUUGAACGUGAAAAUGGACAAACUGCUUCUAGAGGUCAAAGGACUCAAAAAACUGUUGAAAGAGAAAGAAAGUGCAACAGUGGAACAAACUAAAAACAUACAGAGGGAUGACAAUGAUGUGAUGGAGGUCACAGUCUGAGAAAUAAUAGUGAAGAAAGUGGAACAGGAGAUAAAGAUAGGAAAAAAGGAUACUAUGUAUUUUACACAUAUACAUAUUUGUGAUUAUACUUCUAUUCAUGACUGUAUAUUUUACAUACUCACUUUAAUGAUGAUCAUGAUAGAAAAAAUGCAAAUGAAAAUGAAGAACAUUAGGUAGAUUAUCAA